rnacentral:rRNA from 1 species
GACGAACGCUGGCGGCGUGCUUAACACAUGCAAGUCGAGCGGUGAAGUCUCUUCGGGGACUGAUUAGCGGCGGACGGGUGAGUAACACGUGGGUAACCUGCCUCAUAGAGGGGAAUAGCCUUCCGAAAGGAAGAUUAAUACCGCAUAAGAUUGUAGUUCCGCAUGAAACAGCAAUUAAAGGAGUAAUCCGCUAUGAGAUGGGCCCGCGUCGCAUUAGCUAGUUGGUGUGGUAACGGCUCACCAAGGCGACGAUGCGUAGCCGACCUGAGAGGGUGAUCGGCCACAUUGGGACUGAGACACGGCCCAGACUCCUACGGGAGGCAGCAGUGGGGAAUAUUGCACAAUGGGGGAAACCCUGAUGCAGCAACGCCGCGUGAGUGAUGACGGUCUUCGGAUUGUAAAACUCUGUCUUUGGGGACGAUAAUGACGGUACCCAAGGAGGAAGCCACGGCUAACUACGUGCCAGCAGCCGCUGUAA